UCCGGUCGAAAACCAGAAGUUUAAAUUUUAAUUCUUAUAAAUGCAACGACUGGAAUUGUUCGGUUUGGUGGGCGUACCAAAAUGAAAGUCCUGGUGUGAAUACAUGUAACAUUAUCAUUAGUUACACUUCUAUUAAUGUUAUAAUGUAUAGGCAGAAUGGUGCUCACGUUAGCUUCCAUUCAACUGACAGGGUAUGAAAGUAGCUACGUGGCUAGCUAGCUAGCUAAUGUAGCAAACGAGUGAGAUAAGCAUGAGUGACAUGACAGUUGUUACAGUAGAGUAAAAGAUGGAAACGUCGUUGAUUUACUUUCCAGCAUUGCAUCUCACCAACUAGUUGGACUGCUCAGAGGACUGCUUACACUGCUGUUUCAGCAGAGAGUGUGAAUGUGAAACGGCCUCCGGACAGGUGUGACAGUGCGGAGAAGCAUCACGGGAGCUCGAGGAACAACGGUGUUUCCGAGCUGCGUGGAGAGAGAGGGAGGAGGAAGAGGAGGAGGAGGAGGAGGAAUAACAGCGUAGUAAAUAAAGAAAACAGAAAC